GACGAACGCUGGCGGCGUGCCUAAUACAUGCAAGUUGAGCGAUGAAGAUUGGUGCUUGCACCAAUUUGAAGAGCAGCGAACGGGUGAGUAACGCGUGGGGAAUCUGCCUUUGAGCGGGGGACAACAUUUGGAAACGAAUGCUAAUACCGCAUAACAACUUUAAACAUAAGUUUUAAGUUUGAAAGAUGCAAUUGCAUCACUCAAAGAUGAUCCCGCGUUGUAUUAGCUAGUUGGUGAGGUAAAGGCUCACCAAGGCGAUGAUACAUAGCCGACCUGAGAGGGUGAUCGGCCACAAUGGGACUGAGACACCGCCCAAACCCCUACGGGAGGCAGCAGUAGGGAAUCUUCGGCAAUGGACGAAAGUCUGACCGAGCAACGCCGCGUGAGUGAAGAAGGGUUUCGGAUCGUAAAACUCUGUUGGUAGAGAAGAACGUUGGUGAGAGUGGAAAGCUCAUCAAGUGACGGUAACUACCCAGAAAGGGACGGCUAACUACGUG
rnacentral:rRNA from 1 species